rnacentral:tRNA from 1 species
GCCUCCGGCGCAUAACGGUCGUGCACCGGUCUUGAAAACCGGGCCCUUUGGGCUACCAGGUUCGACUCCUGGCGGGGGCG